rnacentral:rRNA from 1 species
UGGGGGAUAUUGCACAAUGGGCGAAAGCCUGAUGCAGCGACGCCGCGUGGGGGAUGAAGGCUUUCGGGUUGUAAACCUCUUUCGCUAUCGAACAAGGCCCGCUUAGGGUGGGUUGAGGGUAGGUGGAGAAGAAGCGCCGGCUAACUACGUGCCAGCAGCCGCGGUAAUACGUAGGGCGCGAGCGUUGUCCGGAAUUAUUGGGCGUAAAGGGCUUGUAGGCGGCUUGUUGCGCCUGCUGUGAAAACGCGGGGCUUAACUUCGCGCGUGCAGUGGGUACGGGGACGCUUGGGUGUGGUAGGGGUGACUGGAAUUCCAGGUGUAGCGGUGGAAUGCGCAGAUAUCUGGAGGAGCACCGAUGGCGAAGGCAGGUCACUGGGCCAUUACUGACGCUGAGGAGCGAAAGCAUGGGUAGCGAACAGG